GCAACUCACCCAGCCUGGCCUCAUGGUUGAGGAUUUCUGCAUCAGCCAUGGGCUGGAGCUGACAGUGCUUUCACAGGGGGGCAGGCUGGGUGUUCCAUCUUUGCAGGACAUCCUUUGUGUGGCCCAGCCGUGAGACGCUGCCUCACUGGGGAAGGUGUUUCUGCAUUAGAGAAAACAGACCAUCGAUGGCCAGCAAAUGAUGUUUCCUGUGGACACACUAGUGAACAAUAAAAGAGGAUCCUUGGGCUGCUGAGAUGAUUCAGUGGAUACAGCUGCUUUCUGCCAAGUGGGAUGACCUGAAUAUGAUCCCUGGAACCCACAUGGUGGAAGGAAGAGAACCAACUUCCACAAAGCUGUCCUCUGACUCCACACGUAUUCUGUGACACGCAGACGUGCACCCGCGCACAUGCAUGCAUGCAUGCAGAAGCAAUAAAGACUGCUGUUUGAACGCUGUACUGUAGAAGGCACAGACUGAGAUGCUGGAUCAACUGCGCAUGCCUGUCUUUGUGACCGGCUGCUAUCGAUCCUUCCGAGCCCGUGUGCCACGCUGGAAAGCUGCAUCUAAGAGUACUCUCUUCCCCCAACUCAUAAUAAGGGAGAGCCUUGUCCUGUUGGUCCCCGCAG
ensembl:lincRNA Gm44868 predicted gene 44868